AUACGGAGGAUCCGAGCGUUAUCCGGAUUUAUUGGGUUUAAAGGGUGCGCAGGCGGCCAUUUAAGUCAGCGGUUAAAUCGCGGGGCUCAACCCCAUUCUGCCGUUGAUACUGGGUGGCUUGAUUGCGGUCGAGGUUGGCGGAAUUCGUUGUGUAGCGGGGAAAUGCAUAGAUAUGACGAAGAACACCGAUUGCGUAGGCAGCUGACCAGACCGCAAAUGACGCUCAUGCACGAAAGUGCGGGGAUCGAACAGGAUUAGAUACCCUGGUAGUCCGCACAGUAAACGAUGAAUACUUGUUUUCGGCGAUAUAAUGUCGGAGGCAAAGCGAAAGCGAUAAGUAUUCCACCUGGGGAGUACGCCGGCAACGGUGAAACUCAAAUGAAUUGGCGGGG
rnacentral:rRNA from 1 species